UAGUCCACGCCGUAAACGAUGAUAACUAGCUGUCCGGACUCAUAGAGUUUGGGUGGCGCAGCUAACGCAUUAAGUUAUCCGCCUGGGGAGUACGGUCGCAAGAUUAAAACUCAAAGGAAUUGACGGGGGCCCGCACAAGCGGUGGAUUAUGUGGUUUAAUUCGAAGCAACGCGCAAAACCUUACCUAGGCUUGAACUCCUGAGAAGUCGGAGUAAUGUCUGAUGUGUCCUUCGGGAAACUCAGUGAGAGGUGCUGCAUGGCUGUCGUCAGCUCGUGUUGUGAAAUGUUGGGUUAAGUCUCGCAACGAGCGCAACCCCUAUCUUUAGUUGCCAGCAUUCAGUUGGGCACUCUAGAGAGACUGCCUGGGUUAACCAGGAGGAAGGUGGGGAUGACGUCAAGUCCUCAUGGCCCUUAUGUCUAGGGCUACACACGUAAUACAAUGGUGCAUACAAUGGGAAGCGAACUCGCGAGGGGAGCAAAUCUCAAAAAGUGCAU
rnacentral:rRNA from 1 species